GCAACUGAAUACAUCAGUGCAAAGAAGAGUGAAUCAACAAAAUGGAGAUGUUUGAUCAAAUAUAAUAGGCAGUGCCAUGAUAUGCAGUAAAUCCUAGUAAACAAUAAGUUUUCACAUUUUUGUCUGGCACACAUUAAAAGUA